rnacentral:rRNA from 1 species
UACGUAGGGGGCAAGCGUUGUCCGGAAUUAUUGGGCGUAAAGAGCGCGUAGGCGGUCCGAUAAGUCGGCUGUGAAAGUCAAGGGCUCAACCCUUGAAAGCCGGCCGAUACUGUCGGACUAGAGUCCGGAAGAGGCGAGUGGAAUUCCCGGUGUAGCGGUGAAAUGCGCAGAUAUCAGGAAGAACACCCGUGGCGAAAGCGGCUCUCUGGAACGGUACUGACGCUGAGACGCGAAAGCGUGGGGAGCGAGCAGG